rnacentral:rRNA from 1 species
GAUGAACGCUAGCGGCAGGCUUAACACAUGCAAGUCGAGGGGUAUUGGUUUUCGGACCAAGAGACCGGCGCACGGGUGCGUAACGCGUAUGCAAUCUACCUUUUGCAGAGGGAUAGCCCCAGAGAAAUUUGGAUUAAUACCUCAUAAUAUAGUACUUUGGCAUCAAGGAACUAUUAAAGUCACAACGGCAAAGAUGAGCAUGCGUCCCAUUAGCUAGUUGGUAAGGUAACGGCUUACCAAGGCUACGAUGGGUAGGGGUCCUGAGAGGGAGAUCCCCCACACUGGUACUGAGACACGGACCAGACUCCUACGGGAGGCAGCAGUGAGGAAUAUUGGACGAAUGGGCGGCAAGCCUGAUCCAGCCAUGCCGCGUGCAGGAUGACGGUCCUAUGGAUUGUAAACUGC